ACAUUUUCAUAUCAGUAGUGCAUCGGAAUUAAAUUGACAUGAGUAAAUAAGUAUGUUCGUGGAUUGUCCCCGUCUAGAUUAGAAGAUUUAGAGAAUAUGAACAGGCUAAGUAGCACACUGGAUAACAAUAGCAACACAUGCAACAGGCUGAUAAAUGUAAAUUCUGUUCUCUAAAUAUAACUCAAUCCAACGCUGUCAAUUUAUACUAGUAGCGAGGUUAAUGUGUAGGGAGUGUGAUUGUAGUUAAACAUCAAUUUAAUAUCAUUGAGGCUGCAGAAUGAAGGGUGAAGCUUAUGAUAUGAGGACAUUGUUUCUGGAAUGCAGGCUCAUAAUGUCGUCAGUUUAUGUUUUUAUAUAUAUAAAUAUAUAAGCUAGAAAGAGAGCUAUUUUAUGAAAUAUUGCAGCCCAUACACUUAUACAAUAGCCAACUAUAUUAGGGCUGUCAGUUUUCAUUUGAUAUUCUAAUAUAGGUGCAGUGAUGCCACUUCACAACUUUAUUUUUGCAUGAUGCAGGCCAGGAGUGCUGAGUAGACAAUGAUGAGACUGAAAAGUCAAAAAUGAAUGCGAUGUUUUUCAAGCAGUCAUACUAAACAAAUGUCCCUAACAGGUGAUAUCAUCUUGCAUAUAUUUGGGAACCUACAGUAGGAGCACUUUGUUGUGGAGCGUCAGUGAUGCUGCAGGCCAGGAGUAGGCUACUGAGUGGACCACAGUGAGACUGAAAACAUAGUGAGUUGAGCAAACAGCCACUGGCAAACAUAUCAGACUCGGAGCCAGCCAUGGCAAAGGUCAGUGCAUUCUCAGCCCAGAGGUACAUCAUCGAUGACACAGCCACGGAGAAGUUAAGGACUCUUCUGACAGGCUCGCGUGAUGAAACAAAGGUGAUAACCACCAUCAACAGGAAGUUCCCAUUAUCCAUAAAGGAUAUCCGCAGUGUCUGUCCUGUUGAGUUACUAGGCGAAUCAGCAUGGGUUAUGCCAUGGCUCACAGAUGAUGCCGUGAACUAUCGGGUUGCACAGCUUGCAAGGGGCAACUCAGAGACAGCAGCACUUGGUCAUUUCGACUUCAUAUUGUGGCACAGACAGUGGAUCAAAAACAAAAAUGUAGAUGACAGCCUACUAAAUCAUCUCCCUGUUCUGGAUUUCUCCAAAAAAGAAAUUUGUGUCUAUGACUCGUUGAAGACCAUGACGAGUAUUGAUGAGGAUGAUAUGGAUCUUCUAAGAAAUGUCUUCCGGAAGAGGGGAGGGUUGAAGGACUGGAGGGAGACGUACCAUGUCCAGUGGCGUCAGAAAGACUCUGUCAAUUGUGGGAUUUUUGUCUGCUCAGUGAGUAAAGUAGUGUAUUAUGUGUACAUAAAAAAUAUUUUAUAUAUAUAUAUAAACUUCAGUUCAGACUC
rnacentral:lncRNA from 1 species